rnacentral:lncRNA from 1 species
AGGAAGACAAAAUGCGAGUCCAUGUGAUUUUGCAAGAAUAAGGUAAUAAAGUCCAUCUGAUUCACGUCCGGUACCAAUGAUCCGCCCUGUAUUGCGUUCCUGUAUAAAAACAAGGUCAUCUAAAAAUAAAACAGCAGAUUUAAGUGAUUUGGCUAAGCGACUAACAGCUAUGAGAUUAAAAGGACUACCAGGAACAUAAAGAACUGAGUCCAAAGGUAAGGAAGGAAGUGGACUUGCUUGACCUAUUGCAGUUGCCAUGGCUUGAGACCCAUUGGCCAUUGUGACUAUUGGAACAGAUUGAGAAUAUGAGAUACUAGUGAAAAGAGAUUUGUUACCAGAAAUAUGAUCAGAUGCACAUGAAUCAAUGACCCAAGACUCAGAAGGUGAAGAUUGGGAGACACCAGUCAGGCUACUAUUUGUUGGAACAACAGAGGUUAAUACUGAAGAUGUCUGUUUACGUGCUUUGUACUGGAGGAACUCAAUAUAAUCCGGUAAAGAAACCAUCUAAAUUGGAUAUUGCAUUUAAUCCAAUGGAUUGUGAGUUAAAGGCUUCAGAUACGGAUUCCAUUAUAAUAUUGUACCGGGAAAAGCAGAAAAUUGCCGGAGAUCACUAAAAAAUUACUGUAGCUUGCCGGAAAAAACUCAAAGUGGUCGGAAUCAAACGAAAAUAGGAUGAGCAGGGUCGGAAUUGGUAGGCGACCCAACUGUUUUGAAGAAACUUUUUCAAAUUCUGACCGGAAGGGGUCUCACGCACCGGCGCGUGGGACAGACGCGCCGGCGGCGGCAGAUCUCCGACAGGAGCGUGACGGCGUGUGGAUGGUUAUUUUCCGGUGAUCUUUUCUGGGGUUUGGUCGGAUCUCUCUUGGGUACCUUGUGGUGGUGUCGAAUUUUGCACAACACUGAUAAUUAGUGACUUUGACGCAAUUAGUCACUUAGGUCACCGGAAAAUUGCACUGGUGACUUAGCUCUUUCUUCCCGAAUAUCGCUAGAAUGACGCACAACGAUAAAUUUCUCACGGUUGCUCUGAUAACAUGUGAGAAAGCACAGGAGAAAAAUAUUAUUAUUGAUUAAUUAUGACAAUGAUACAAUGAGCCCUAUGUGUACAAUACAUGUUCUACUCCUAAUACAUAUGGGAUUAGGUUUAUUUACUAUUAUUUAUACAAUGAAACUAACAGAUAUAUACAAGUACCAAAGGAACUAUUGCCGCUGAUAGGAAAGUCAAAGGUUGUACACCCACUUAUAAUUCUACUACUUCAAUUCAACGAAAAACAAGAUGAAAUUAUAAAAGAUUCCAUCUCCCCCAAGUAUCACUGAUGGCGAUUAGAGCAGCUGCAAAUGAUGGUAAUUCUUGUUCCUAUUAAGCCGAUAAACAGCAGGAACAACAUACUGAGGAGGUAUGUACACCAGCACUUAAGGUAGAAGUUAUACACAAAACUUCAUGCACUAAUUAUUCAUCAACACUCUCGAUGAUCAUCACAACAUGAUGUAUAGCCAAUAUUAGAAUUAGCAUUAUGAGAUGAAAAAUGGUUUUCAGCAGGUAACUCAUACCAAAUUGUGGCAUUAUCUUUUUACCGAAACUCAGACUGAAUAUGCAUGAAUUGAGACACAUUCACCAAAAGUUACAUAAUUUGCCCUUUUAAGGGUCAUGUAUAGUAGUUCAUCCAGAAAUCCACUGAAAUAGUACACUUUUUUUUUAGAUAAAUAAGAAAAUUUAUGAAACGGUGAGAAUUAAUCCACUGAAGAAGUACACUUCGAGAGUGUAUCGUGCAUUCAACAGUUAAAGGUACAUUCCUAGAUACAUGUUUUACAAGGCAUAACAAUGACUGAACAGAGAAAAGAACCAAUGAAGGAAAAUAUUUUUCUUGAAAAAAUCAUUUCUGGUGUUACAGAAAAAUAUUUUCCAAAGGCCAAAAAAAUUUCCAUAGAAAGGGGAAAAUUGUUCCUCUUUUAUGAGCGUAUUUUAUCUUCUUUACAUCAUCCCAACUCCUAAAUCCCUACAUGUCACUUGCUCUAAGCCUCUACCAACACAUACAUAUUAGUAUCAAACUAUAACACUCAGAAAAAAAAAUUCAUAAAACCUCUUUCCAAGGCGCCUCAAUACCAAACAAGUAGAGAUUAACUAUAUGAAUCCUCAUAGACCAUGUUCCGCAUUUAAACUCAUCUUAAACCAACACUAUACAACGUAAAACCAAAAAAAUGAAAAGUAUUAGAACUUCUCUACAUUCCCUACUAGCAUACGAAUCACUAAUAGGGCUAAAAGACUCCUAGAAAGCAUAGUACUUAAUGUAAAACUCCGCCAUAGCGCAAGUCGGCGAUCCAAGUCCGGAUAAAGGAGAACCGUUGCAAUCAGCAACGAAGCUAAGAAUUUCCUCAAGGGUGUUCAAACUUAAAAAAAGUAAAAAAUUCUACGACAAAGGGUGUUCAUUGUAUGCGGUAUAAGUUUUCGACGAAUUGACCACCUUUAAGACAUGUAGCUUCGCCCCUAGGCUGGCAGCUAGCAUAAAACUACCCAAUUUAUAAUGAAUUUGCUUUCAAUAUCAUCAAUCUUUCAUAAAUUGUACAUUCACUAAACAUGCUUCGCUAUAUAAAUCGCAAUAAACGUUUAAGAGAACUUACGAGUAGCGAGGGUGAAGAGUAAUUGGACACAGAUGAAGAAUUUGUCCCUUGAAUUCCAGAAUUUUCCUGUAAACUUCCCUCAUAUAUUCCUCCGUUUCUUCUAUACAUGCCAAACUGCCGCUAUCUGCUGAGGCUGACACCCAGCGCCCACCGAUCACUAAUCAAUUCAAAGCGCCUCACCCUCAAUUUUAUCAACCAAAAAGGAGUAUCUAAAUAAUACUGUGUUUUUGUUAUAAAUAAAACUC